GCGCUGAAGGGUGUCCCCGCACUGCUGUCCCCCGAGCUGCUCUACGCGCUGGCGCGGAUGGGGCACGGGGACGAGAUCGGCAGGGACCUUGCCCUCCCCACCUCCCCGCGUGGCUUCCAGCCCUGCAGAUCUGACUGCGGCCGGUCGGCGGUGGGGGCGCCCAACUGGCUGACCUGAGACCUCUCGUGACCCACGACCUGCCGCCAUGACUGGGUGGGAGGACGGGCGGCGCCGACCCCGAGGGCAGGGAUAGGUGCUGACCACGGGCUGUCCUCCCGGCUGUUUAGUUCUUGCGGACUUGAACUUCCCGGCCUCCUCCAUCUGCCAGUGUGGGCCCAUGGAGAUCCGUGCAGACGGCCUGGGCAUCCCGCAGCUCCUGGAGGCCGUGCUGAAGCUGCUGCCCCUGGACACCUAUGUGGAGAGUCCGGCUGCAGUCAUGGAGCUGGUGCCCAGCGACAAGGAGAGGGGCCUGCAGACCCCAGUGUGGACGGAGUACGAGUCCAUCCUACGCAGGGCCGGCUGUGCGAGAGCCCUGGCAAAGAUAGAGAGGUUUGAGUUUUAUGAACGGGCUAAGAAGGCUUUUGCUGUUGUGGCAACGGGGGAGAUGGCCCUCUACGGAAACCUCAUCCUCAAGAAGGGGGUGCUUGCACUCAACCCCCUGCUGUAGGCCUGGUGAAGACCACCUGGGCCGGAAGAGGAAUUGGGGGCACCCUGAGCUCCAGUACCACCACUCACAACAGGCCUCCCAGUGGCAGCUCCCAGACCUGGGCCCUGGCCAGGGCUCUAGGGGGCCGGCAGUCUUGGGGUGGGCCCUGCCUAUUGGGACGAGUGUCCCUGAUUUGUGAAAACGAUGGAAAAACGUAGUCACUGGUCAACGUUCAGUCU
rnacentral:sRNA from 1 species